rnacentral:lncRNA from 1 species
GUGAAUCUGUGUUAAUGAGAGUGUGCUGAUAGUGUGCUUUUAUAGCUACUUGUUAAACAUACCACGUCUAAAUUUUCCGAGGAAUGAACUUCAGGAAAUGAGUCAUGGUUUUGUCUUGUGCUUCGCUCAUCUUAAGUCUGAGCAGAAACUCAAGUGCAGUGGAAGAACAGUUUUCUUUUGUCUGUGCUAAGGUUAAACCCAGGGACACUUAGCUACAUCCCCAGCCCAAAAAUUGUUCAGAGAAGCAUAUGUGUCCUGUAUGUUUCUGAUCGUUAUUUAUAAAUGUGCAUACUUAAAUGCAUAACAGUGUUUCUGGGAUUUCACCUAGAACUGGUUGGGGUGCAGAGCAAGAGACUCACGUGGAGGCCGUCCAGGCGCCGGGAGCAUCCUGCCCCUGCUGCAUUUAGCCUGUUAGCUUCGGCAGCUUAAGCACAUACGGUCAGAAUCAUCUUAAGCUUUAUUAAGUCUGUCUUACCCUUUUCCAUGAUUUUUAUUUAUAAAAUAGCUUGUUCUCAAAUUGAAUAGGGUCCUUAUGCUUAGAAGUCUACCUGUUCACUUGGAAAUAGAAUGAAAAUAGGUAUGGAUUUUUAAAUUUUUCAGUAAGUUUCUUAAAUACAUGGUGUGAAGUACUAUUUGCAUGGCAUAAACAGGUUUUUAAAAGAUCAAGCCUUACUCAUUUGUCUUAUCAUUAGAUACUUAAAGACCAAAUGCAAAACUGACUGAAUUUGUCCUGAGGCAAACAGUAAAGGCAUUUCAGGUGUUGACCGCAGACUCCAGCAGCUGACAGGUUUCUUCUUGCACUUGGGGUUGUCUCAUUUAAUUACGUAAGUGAAUAAGAGUCUACACAUUCCCUAUAGACGUUCAAAGACCUUUCUGUAAAAAUAAUAUUUUAUACUGGGUUUUGAAUGGAUAUAUGGGCCACCAUUUUAAGUAAAACAUUUUUCCAAUUUAAAUCACAAAUUAUUAGGUCAGGUGAGGUAGUGCAUACUUUUAAUCCCAGCACUUGAGACAACAGUUUGAGGCCAGCCACAGCAAUGUAGUAAAACUGUCUCAAAACCAAUCAGAAAUCAUACAUUAACAUCUAAGUAUAAAGUAAACCAAGAUUUGCAUAUAUCUUAUGGAUAAAUUUCUGUGAUAAAACUAAUUAUGUUCUCAAAGAUCUUUUCUCAACUAUUAAGGUAAAAUUGGGACAGUAAACAUCUGAUAUGUAACAACUGGUGUAUUUACCUAUCAAAACAUAGUCAACAUAGAAUGUAUGUUUAUCUCCCCAAAGGAUUGUUCAUGAACCUUUGUGCUCCUUUCCUGAGAUAAGCACCCGGACGUUACCCUCCCAGGAAAGUACUAAUUGCUCUAGGCUAGUUCAUAUUUUUUAUAGUUUUAUUGGAAUCAUGUAUACAUUUAUUUAUUUGCUUGUUUGUUUUCACUUGGCAUAAUUGGAAAUUUAUUAUAGGUAGUGAUAGUACAUUUCUGGAAACUGCUUAGUACUGUCUGUAUUCAUACAGUGGGAUUUAUCUGUUCACUUGUUGGCCAGUAUUGUUUCUGGUUAGGGACCAUUACAAAUAAAGGCACCUGAACAGACAUGAACAGAUCUUUGUAUGAACAGUGCUUUCAUUUCCUUUGACUAAACAUAGUGACAUGCGUGGUUCAUGUUUAAAUUUUUAAAGAGAAUUUUACAGUAUUUUCUAAAGUGUCAUUUUUACUCUUAUCAGCAAUUUAUAAAGGAUCU